rnacentral:rRNA from 1 species
CAAUCCAUGAGUACAGUGGCGACCGGGUGAGUAACACGUGACCAAUCUACCUUCGAGUGGGGGAUAACUCCGGGAAACCGGGGCUAAUACCGCAUAACAUCUUCGGGUCGGAAGAACUGAAGAUCAAAGGAGCAAUUCGCUUGAAGAGGAGGUCGCGGCUGAUUAGCUAGUUGGCGGGGUAAUGGCCCACCAAGGCGAAGAUCGGUAUCCGGCCUGAGAGGGCGCACGGACACACUGGAACUGAAACACGGUCCAGACUCCUACGGGAGGCAGCAGUGGGGAAUUUUGCGCAAUGGGGGAAACCCUGACGCAGCAACGCCGCGUGGAGGAUGAAGUCCCUUGGGACGUAAACUCCUUUCGACCGGGACGAUUAUGACGGUACCGGUGGAAGAAGCCCCGGCUAACUUCGUGCCAGCAGCCGCGGUAAUACGAGGGGGGCAA